rnacentral:rRNA from 1 species
UAAUACUCGAGUAACCUGCCCAUGACUCUGGGAUAAGCCCGGGAAACUGGGUCUAAUACUGGAUGCUACAUGUCACCGCAUGGUGGUGUGUGGAAAGGGUUUACUGGUCUUGGAUGGGCUCACGGCCUAUCAGCUUGUUGGUGAGGUAAUGGCUCACCAAGGCGACGACGGGUAGCCGGCCUGAGAGGGUGACCGGCCACACUGGGACUGAGACACGGCCCAGACUCCUACGGGAGGCAGCAGUGGGGAAUAUUGCACAAUGGGCGAAAGCCUGAUGCAGCGACGCCGCGUGAGGGAUGACGGCCUUCGGGUUGUAAACCUCUUUCAGCAGGGAAGAAGCCACAAGUGACGGUACCUGCAGAAGAAGCGCCGGCUAACUACGUGCCAGCAGCCGCGGUAAUACGUAGGGCGCAAGCGUUGUCCGGAAUUAUUGGGCGUAAAGAGCUCGUAGGCGGUUUGUCGCGUCUGCUGUGAAAGCCCGGGGCUUAACCCCGGGUGUGCAGUGGGUACGGGCAGACUAGAGUGCAGUAGGGGAGACUGGAAUUCCUGGUGUAGCGGUGGAAUGCGCAGAUAUCAGGAGGAACACCGAUGGCGAAGGCAGGUCUCUGGGCUGUUACUGACGCUGAGGAGCGAAAGCAUGGGGAGCGAACAGGAUUAGAUACCCUGGUAGUCCAUGCCGUAAACGUUGGGCACUAGGUGUGGGGGACAUUCCACGUUUUCCGCGCCGUAGCUAACGCAUUAAGUGCCCCGCCUGGG